AUUGAACGCUGGCGGCAGGCCUAACACAUGCAAGUCGAGCGGAUGAAGGGAGCUUGCUCCUGGAUUCAGCGGCGGACGGGUGAGUAAUGCCUAGGAAUCUGCCUGGUAGUGGGGGAUAACGUCCGGAAACGGGCGCUAAUACCGCAUACGUCCUGAGGGAGAAAGUGGGGGAUCUUCGGACCUCACGCUAUCAGAUGAGCCUAGGUCGGAUUAGCUAGUUGGUGGGGUAAAGGCCUACCAAGGCGACGAUCCGUAACUGGUCUGAGAGGAUGAUCAGUCACACUGGAACUGAGACACGGUCCAGACUCCUACGGGAGGCAGCAGUGGGGAAUAUUGGACAAUGGGCGAAAGCCUGAUCUAGCCAUGCCGCGUGUGUGAAGAAGGUCUUCGGAUUGUAAAGCACUUUAAGUUGGGAGGAAGGGCAGUAAGUUAAUACCUUGCUGUUUUGACGUUACCAACAGAAUAAGCACCGACUAACUUCGUG
rnacentral:rRNA from 1 species